UACGUAGGGGGCAAGCGUUGUCCGGAAUCAUUGGGCGUAAAGAGCGUGUAGGCGGCUCGGUAAGUCCGCUGUGAAAGUCCAGGGCUCAACCCUGGAAUGCCGGUGGAAACUGUCGAGCUAGAGUCCGGAAGAGGCGAGUGGAAUUCCUGGUGUAGCGGUGAAAUGCGCAGAUAUCAGGAGGAACACCAAUGGCGAAGGCAGCUCGCUGGGACGGUACUGACGCUCAUGCACGAAAGCGUGGGGAGCAAACAGG
rnacentral:rRNA from 1 species